AAAUUGAAGAGUUUGAUCAUGGCUCAGAUUGAACGCUGGCGGCAGGCCUAACACAUGCAAGUCGAGCGGUAGCACAGAGAGCUUGCUCUCGGGUGACGAGCGGCGGACGGGUGAGUAAUGUCUGGGAAACUGCCUGAUGGAGGGGGAUAACUACUGGAAACGGUAGCUAAUACCGCAUAACGUCGCAAGACCAAAGUGGGGGACCUUCGGGCCUCAUGCCAUCAGAUGUGCCCAGAUGGGAUUAGCUAGUAGGUGGGGUAACGGCUCACCUAGGCGACGAUCCCUAGCUGGUCUGAGAGGAUGACCA
rnacentral:rRNA from 1 species